rnacentral:lncRNA from 1 species
UCAUUUGAUACAUGAGAAGACAAAGAAGUCUUCUAGCUAUGGGAUUUGCUUGCUUGGAUGUGGCUAUCUUUAUUUGAUGUCUUGAUCUUCAUGAUGCUUGAUAUUGCUAAUUGCUUGCUGAUUAUUGUUUGAUUCAAAAUCCAAAGGGGAAGUGGGUUUUCUAUACGACAUUCUUGUGUGUUGGAUUGCAUUCCAUUAGUCAGAUCUUUUCAACUCUUAACUUUUAAUUUUAU